AUACGAAGGGGGCUAGCGUUGUUCGGAAUUACUGGGCGUAAAGCGCACGUAGGCGGAUAUUUAAGUCAGGGGUGAAAUCCCAGAGCUCAACUCUGGAACUGCCUUUGAUACUGGGUAUCUUGAGUAUGGAAGAGGUAAGUGGAAUUCCGAGUGUAGAGGUGAAAUUCGUAGAUAUUCGGAGGAACACCAGUGGCGAAGGCGGCUUACUGGUCCACUACUGACGCUGAGGCGCGAAAGCGUGGGGAGCAAACAGGAUUAGAAACCCUAGUAGUCC
rnacentral:rRNA from 1 species